AGUCGAGCGAACAGAUAAGGAGCUUGCUCCUUUGACGUUAGCGGCGGACGGGUGAGUAACACGUGGGUAACCUACCUAUAAGACUGGGAUAACUUCGGGAAACCGGAGCUAAUACCGGAUAACAUUUGGAACCGCAUGGUUCUAAAGUGAAAGAUGGUUUUGCUAUCACUUAUAGAUGGACCCGCGCCGUAUUAGCUAGUUGGUAAGGUAACGGCUUACCAAGGCAACGAUACGUAGCCGACCUGAGAGGGUGAUCGGCCACACUGGAACUGAGACACGGUCCAGACUCCUACGGGAGGCAGCAGUAGGGAAUCUUCCGCAAUGGGCGAAAGCCUGACGGAGCAACGCCGCGUGAGUGAUGAAGGGUUUCGGCUCGUAAAACUCUGUUAUUAGGGAAGAACAAAUGUGUAAGUAACUGUGCACAUCUUGACGGUACCUAAUCAGAAAGCCACGGCUAACUACGUGCCAGCAGCCGCGGUAAUACGUAGGUGGCAAGCGUUAUCCGGAAUUAUUGGGCGUAAAGCGCGCGUAGGCGGUUUCUUAAGUCUGAUGUGAAAGCCCACGGCUCAACCGUGGAGGGUCAUUGGAAACUGGGAAACUUGAGUGCAGAAGAGGAAAGUGGAAUUCCAUGUGUAGCGGUGAAAUGCGCAGAGAUAUGGAGGAACACCAGUGGCGAAGGCGACUUUCUGGUCUGUAACUGACGCUGAUGUGCGAAAGCGUGGGGAUCAAACAGGAUUAGAUACCCUGGUAGUCCACGCCGUAAACGAUGAGUGCUAAGUGUUAGGGGGUUUCCGCCCCUUAGUGCUGCAGCUAACGCAUUAAGCACUCCGCCUGGGGAGUACGACCGCAAGGUUGAAACUCAAAGGAAUUGACGGGGACCCGCACAAGCGGUGGAGCAUGUGGUUUAAUUCGAAGCAACGCGAAGAACCUUACCAAAUCUUGACAUCCUUUGAAAACUCUAGAGAUAGAGCCUUCCCCUUCGGGGGACAAAGUGACAGGUGGUGCAUGGUUGUCGUCAGCUCGUGUCGUGAGAUGUUGGGUUAAGUCCCGCAACGAGCGCAACCCUUAAGCUUAGUUGCCAUCAUUAAGUUGGGCACUCUAGGUUGACUGCCGGUGACAAACCGGAGGAAGGUGGGGAUGACGUCAAAUCAUCAUGCCCCUUAUGAUUUGGGCUACACACGUGCUACAAUGGACAAUACAAAGGGCAGCUAAACCGCGAGGUCAUGCAAAUCCCAUAAAGUUGUUCUCAGUUCGGAUUGUAGUCUGCAACUCGACUACAUGAAGCUGGAAUCGCUAGUAAUCGUAGAUCAGCAUGCUACGGUGAAUACGUUCCCGGGUCUUGUACACACCGCCCGUCACACCACGAGAGUUUGUAACACCCGAAGCCGGUGGAGUAACCAUUUAUGGAGCU
rnacentral:rRNA from 1 species